GGAUCAUGAAUACACAGUCACUGGAACAAGUGGCAGAGAAAGUAGUAGUCGUAGUCGACGGAUAAAAACAAUUGCACUGUGGAAAAGUGGAAGACUACCGGUACUUUUCGCCCCCAAUAACAAUGUGCGAUGCCAAAUAACGUGACGAUUAUUUUGUGAUUUUUAUUUGUAUCUCUCUAUUCAAAACAGCCUGAAAGUGACGAGAAGAGUCGGUCUGGUGGAUUAACACCACCACUGCGCAGCUGUUUGUAAACUCUUCGCACCGGCUUUAGGACACUAAAUUACGAAAAGGUAAACAAGUCAUGUUUUAUUUCUAAUCAACUUUCUGGCCAAAAAAACAAUACAAUACAAAAUAAACGAACCCGAUGUUGAAACUGAAACAUUGAAGCACCUUUGUGUGUGUUAUUUUGUGUUUCUUGGGUGAUAUUGAAGCAGCGGCAACAAUCAUAAUUGGAUCAAGUUACAUUCGCAGAAUGACAUGUGGAUGGCUGAUAGGUGGGUGACGUCACUGCAACAUGUCACAUGGCUGUGCAUGGUGGCAAAAUGCAAUGGGAGUUUAGCGAAGAAAAAAAAAAGAAGAGGAGUUAAGGAUCGAAACAAAGGAAGGGAUGCAUUGAAAGGAAUAAGAUGCAGGAUAGAAAUACCACACAACUCAAUGCUGACACCAGUUUGUCCAUUUCCAAACCUGGUAUUUGCACAAAUAAAUAAAUUAGAUAGAUAGAUAGAUAGAUUGGACUGGCGUUUUUUUUUUUUCGGGGGUCAUACAUCAAAAUUUUCUCCAGGAUACAUGCUUUUUCGGGUCCCCUAAAAAAGGUGAUUCAUUCGUCAAAAGAAUAAUGAUGAAAACAUAUUACAAGAGGGCCUCAUAACAUUAAUAGGGGUUGGGGGGGUA